rnacentral:rRNA from 1 species
UGGGGAAUAUUGCGCAAUGGGGGGAACCCUGACGCAGCCAUGCCGCGUGAAUGAAGAAGGCCUUAGGGUUGUAAAGUUCUUUCGGUAUUGAGGAAGGUUGAUGUGUUAAUAGCACAUCAAAUUGACGUUAAAUACAGAAGAAGCACCGGCUAACUCCGUGCCAGCAGCCGCGGUAAUACGGAGGGUGCGAGCGUUAAUCGGAAUAACUGGGCGUAAAGGGCACGCAGGCGGUUAUUUAAGUGAGGUGUGAGAGCCCCGGGCUUAACCUGGGAAUUGCAUUUCAGACUGGGUAACUAGAGUACUUUAGGGAGGGGUAGAAUUCCACGUGUAGCGGUGAAAUGCGUAGAGAUGUGGAGGAAUAUCGAAGGCGAAGGCAGCCCCUUGGGAAUGUACUGACGCUCAUGUGCGAAAGCGUGGGGAGCAAACAGGAUUAGAUACCCUGGUAGUCCACGCUGUAAACGCUGUCGAUUUGGGGGUUGGGGUUUAACUCUGGCGCCCGUAGCUAACGUGAUAAAUCGACCGCCUGGGGAGUACGGCCGCAAGGUUA